UCGGGGCGUAGCGCAGCCUGGUUAGCGCACUCGCUUGGGGUGCGAGUGGUCGGCCGUUCAAAUCGGCUCGCCCCGAUUUU
rnacentral:tRNA from 1 species